UGGGAUGUAGCUUAGUGGCAAAGCACUUGCCUAGCAAGUGCAAUGUCCUGGGUUCGAUCCCCAGUACCAA
rfam:Dipodomys ordii contig_51207, whole genome shotgun sequence.